UGUGGGAGGUUGUAAUGAAUGGCCACAGUCACAGCCUAGACAAUCAAUAAUUUUCUAUUUAUGGAGCAUUUCUCCGGAGCGACCAUGACCUGUGCAUAGUCAAUUAAAAUUCCAUUCGUAUGACGAGAUACGUGUUGUCCAGGGACCAGGAUAUCGUGCCUCUUAAUUUGGCUACGAUUAUUUAUUCUAGAAUAUUGCCACUCUAGUUAAUAUUCUUCCAUGCCUAAAUACUAGUUUUCAAUAAGUUCGAUUGUAGUUAAGUACGCAGAUUUUCUAGAUUUUAAUCUAAGAUUUUGUCGUGACCUGUUGUAUUGUAAGGGAUGUGUUUGAUAAGUAUUUUAACCACUCUGUGUGCUGCCCCAUCGAAGAUAGAUGAACUACGUCCACAGAAAAUUGUCGAAAACAUCUCGUUUAAUUUGUUUAUAUACGAACUCUAUUGGUGCCACCAUGUAUACGAUAAUACCU